rnacentral:rRNA from 1 species
GUCUAGGGGGUAGCAAUACCACCGGCGGACGGGUGCGUAACGCGUGGGAAUGUACCUAUUGGUUCGGAACAACCCAGGGAAACUUGGGCUAAUACCGAAUGUGCCCGUAAGAGGAAAGAUUUAUCGCCAAUAGAUCAGCCCGCGUAGGAUUAGCUAGUUGGUGGGGUAAUGGCCCACCAAGGCUCCGAUCCUUAGCUGUUCUGAGAGGAAGGUCAGCCACACUGGGACUGAGAUACGGCCCAGACUCCUACGGGAGGCAGCAGUUGGGAAUCUUGGACAAUGGGCGAAAGCCUGAUCCAGCCAUGCCGCGUGAGUGAUGAAGGCCUUCGGGUUGUAAAACUCUUUCGACGGGGACGAUAAUGACGGUACCCGUAGAAUAAGCUCCGGCUAACUUCGUGCCAGCAGCCGCGGUAAUACGAAGGGGGCUAGCGUUGUUCGGAAUUACUGGGCGUAAAGCGCGCGCAGGCGGUUUUCCAAGUCAGUGGUGAAAGCCCGGAGCUCAACUCCGGAACUGCCAUUGAAACUGUUAAACUUGAGGACGAGAGAGGUGAGUGGAAUUCCCAGUGUAGAGGUGAAAUUCGUAGAUAUUGGGAAGAACACCAGUGGCGAAGGCGGCUCACUGGCUCGUUUCUGACGCUCAGGCGCGAUAGCGUGGGGAUCAAACAGGAUUAGAUACCCUGGUAGUCCACGCCGUAAACGAUGAAUGCUAGCCGUUGGGUAGCUUGCUAUUCAGUGGCGCAGCUAACGCAUUAAGCAUUCCGCCUGGGGAGUACGGCCGCAAGGUUGAAACUCAAAGGAAUUGACGGGGGCCCGCACAAGCGGUGGAGCAUGUGGUUUAAUUCGACGCAACGCGCAGAACCUUACCAGGGUUUGACAUCCUGCGACCGCUCCCUAACAGGAGUUUUCCCGC